rnacentral:rRNA from 1 species
CCUACGGGUGGCAGCAGUGAGGAAUAUUGGUCAAUGGGCGCAAGCCUGAACCAGCCAUGCCGCGUGCAGGAAGACGGCCCUAUGGGUUGUAAACUUCUUUUAUACAGGGAUAAACCUGGGUACGUGUAUUCAGCUGAACGUACUGUACGAAUAAGGAUCGGCUAACUCCGUGCCAGCAGCCGCGGUAAUACGGAGGAUCCGAGCGUUAUCCGGAUUUAUUGGGUUUAAAGGGUGCGUAGGCGGAUUGAUAAGUUAGGUGUGAAAUGUUGGGGCUUAACUCGGGAACUGCAUUUAAUACUGUUGAUCUAGAGAGUAGAUGCGGUAGGCGGAAUGUAUGGUGUAGCGGUGAAAUGCUUAGAGAUCACACAGAACACCGAUGGCGAAGGCAGCUUACCAAGCUAUAUCUGACGUUGAGGCACGAAAGCGUGGGUAGCAAACAGGAUUAGAUACCCGAGUAGUC